rnacentral:rRNA from 1 species
UACGAAGGGGGCUAGCGUUGCUCGGAAUCACUGGGCGUAAAGGGCGCGUAGGCGGACUCUUAAGUCGGGGGUGAAAGCCCAGGGCUCAACCCUGGAAUUGCCUUCGAUACUGAGAGUCUUGAGUUCGGAAGAGGUUGGUGGAACUGCGAGUGUAGAGGUGAAAUUCGUAGAUAUUCGCAAGAACACCAGUGGCGAAGGCGGCGAUCUGGGCUGAUACUGACGCUGAGGUGCGAAAGCGUGGGGAGCAAACAGG